CCAAAGGAGGAGGAGAUUUAAGCUUUAAAUAUUUAGAUCUAGAAAACUAGAAUUGAUUCCGUUGGAAGAAAAAUCAUGGAUGUGCCGAAAAAAGAGAAAAACAAAGAAAGAGAAAGAAUUUUACCGGCUCUAGUGCUAUGGAAGCCACUAUGAAUAUAAAAAAUCUAGGUGGCGGUUCCUUUUGUUUUUAGAGAGAAGGGAGAGAUUUUUAGGUCCAGAGAGAAAUGUGUGUGUAUUCACAUCACGACAUGGCUUCUUUUUCUUUUUCUAU